UUGUGUUUCAGUGUUUGCAGUGUGGCUAUUUUAUUCUUCAGAGAGGUCCUCAGAAUCCCAGAGACAAUGAAGCAAGGCACAAGCUAUAAGACAAGGCCAUGCGGGGUCCUGCAUGGCAUCCUCCUUUCCCCUGGACCCCCUCGUACAUACAUGCCAGCACAAAGAAGCUGUUCAGGCAAGAAGCUGGUGGGCGAGACUCACACUGGUGACUGGCUGUCCUUCUAUGCACACUGAAAAUCUACAGAGCCAGAAACUUUAUAGAAGUUAAUUUUAAGAUUUUGAUUCAGGGAAGACAGCAGUGUGAUAGAGAGGGGCCACAGCGGGAAGCCACGUUGAGAGAGGAUACGGGAGCAAGGAGAUGGGAAAUACAAUAAUCACAUUAAAACAUUAAACACCAGG
rnacentral:lncRNA from 1 species